UUAUAAAUUAGUGUACCAGCGCACACAGGAAUUUGGCCCCUGAAGAAAAGGUUCAACUCCCUAAUUUAUAAA
rnacentral:tRNA from 1 species